GAUGAAGAACGCAGCGAAAUGCGAUAAGUAAUGUGAAUUGCAGAAUUCGGUGAAUCAUCGAAUCUUUGAACGCACCUUGCACCCUUUGGUAUUCCGAAGGGUAUGCUCGUUUGAGUGUCAUUGUACUCUCACACUUCUAAUUCCUUUCGGGAUUGGGAGCGGUGGACUUGGGUGUUGCUGCUUUAGUUGUGGCUCACCUCAAAUAAGUUAGUGCAACUCUUGGUUGGACAUAGUACGGCGUGAUAAGUGUCUUCGCCGGCGCCUCUGUAAGGAGGGUGGCCGAUCGGGAGCUCUGUGCUUCAAACCGUCUUCGGACAAUCUUUGACAACUUGACCUCAAAUCGAGUAGGACUACCCGCUGAACUUAAGCAUAUCAAUAAGCGGAGGA
rnacentral:misc_RNA from 1 species